rnacentral:tRNA from 1 species
GUUUUAGUAGUUUAAAUAAAAACACUGGUCUUGUAAACCAAUAUUAAGCUACCACGCUUUUAAAACU